rnacentral:rRNA from 1 species
AUCGAACGCUGGCGGCAUGCCUUACACAUGCAAGUCGAACGGUAACAGGUCUUCGGAUGCUGACGAGUGGCGAACGGGUGAGUAAUACAUCGGAACGUGCCUAGUAGUGGGGGAUAACUACUCGAAAGAGUGGCUAAUACCGCAUGAGAUCUACGGAUGAAAGCAGGGGAUCGCAAGACCUUGUGCUACUAGAGCGGCCGAUGGCAGAUUAGGUAGUUGGUGGGAUAAAAGCUUACCAAGCCGACGAUCUGUAGCUGGUCUGAGAGGACGAUCAGCAACACUGGGACUGAGACACGGCCCAGACCCCUACGGGAGGCAGCAGUGGGGAAUUUUGGACAAUGGGCGCAAGCCUGAUCCAGCAAUGCCGCGUGCAGGAUGAAGGCCUUCGGGUUGUAAACUGCUUUUGUACGGAACGAAAAGCCCCGGGUUAAUACCCUGGGGUCAUGACGGUACCGUAAGAAUAAGCACCGGCUAACUACGUGCCAGCCGCCGCAGUAA